rnacentral:rRNA from 1 species
AUUGAACGCUGGCGGGAUGCCUUACACAUGCAAGUCGAACGGAGUGGCGAACGGGUGAGUAAUGUAUCGGAACGUGCCCAGUAGCGGGGGAUAACUAAGCGAAAGCGUAGCUAAUACCGCAUACGAUUGGAGCGGCCGAUAUCGGAUUAGCUAGUUGGUGGGGUAAGGGCUCACCAAGACGACGAUCCGUAGCUGUGCUGAGAGGAUGACCAGCCACAUUGGGACUGAUACACGGCCCAGACUCCUACGGGAGGCAGCAGUGGGGAAUUUUGCACAAUGGGGGAAAGCCUGAUGCAGCCAUCCCGCGUGUGUGAAGAAGGCCUUCGGGUUGUAAAGCACUUUUGGCAGGGAAGCGGUACCUGCAGAAUAAGCACCGGCUAACUCCGUGCCAGCAGCCGCGGUAAUAC